rnacentral:misc_RNA from 1 species
GAUGAAGAACGUAGCGAAAUGCGAUACGUAGUGUGAAUUGCAGAAUUCAGUGAAUCAUCGAAUCUAUGAACGCACAUUGCACCUCUCGGUAUUCCGGGAGGUAUGCCUGUUCGAGCGUCAUUUGUACCCUCAAGCUCUGCUUGGUGUUGGGUGUUUGUUCCGCCUCUGUGUGUGAACUCGCCUCAAAACAAUUGGCAGCCGGCGUACUUGUUUCGGAGCGCAGCACAUUUUGCGAUCCAGAUCGACGUACAGCGGCAUCCAAGAAGCCUUAUUUAACGCUCUUGACCUCGGAUCAGGUAGGGAUACCCGCUGAACUUAAGCAUAUCAAUAAGCGGAGGA